rnacentral:rRNA from 1 species
GUGGGGAAUUUUGCGCAAUGGGCGAAAGCCUGACGCAGCAACGCCGCGUGUGUGAUGAAGGUCUUCGGAUCGUAAAGCACUUUCGACCGGGAAGAAAAAGCGAGUGCUAAUCAGCUCGUGUUGACGGUACCGGGAGAAGAAGCACCGGCUAACUCUGUGCCAGCAGCCGCGGUAAUACAGAGGGUGCAAGCGUUGUUCGGAAUUAUUGGGCGUAAAGCGCGUGUAGGCGGCAUGGCAAGUCGGGUGUGAAAGCCCUCAGCUCAACUGAGGAAGUGCGCCCGAAACUGCUGCGCUUGAGUACCGGAGAGGGUGGCGGAAUUCCCCAAGUAGAGGUGAAAUUCGUAGAUAUGGGGAGGAACACCGGUGGCGAAGGCGGCCACCUGGACGGUCACUGACGCUGAGACGCGAAAGCGUGGGUAGCAAACAGGAUUAGAAACCCUAGUAGUCC